AGCACCUUUGAAAUGAUCCAACUCCCCGUAUCAAGCACACCUGGUGCACUAAUCAAGGGCUUCAUUAGUUCAGGUGUGCUUGAGAUAGAACACACCUGGUCUGGCUCCGGGUUUAUUGAGAGUGACGUUUGAUUGCAUGUUAGAAAUUGUCCAAAAAGUUCAGAGAAGAGAUCGUUGCCUUGCACAAACAAGGAAAAUGAUACAAAAAGAUAGCAAAAGCACCGAAUGUCCCUAGAAAUACAGUUGGAAGCAUAGUUGGCAAGUUGAAAGUUGAAGGACCAGCGGCUACGCUACCUGGACGUGGCAGAAAGAAGAAGCUGUCAGCGGCUGCCACCAGAUUCCUGAGGAGGCAAGUGGUCAAAAACCCUCGAGUGACUGCAGAACACCUGCAGCAAGACUCGGUGGCAGCAGGCGCUGAGGUUUCAGUUUGCACAGACUGGUCAUGGAUGUGUAUGCUGAUCUCUGCCGUUCAUUUGGACUUCCUGUGUGGAUAGCUUCCUUGCUCCACGCUGCCAAACGCCUGAAGAGUGACUGCGCCCGUCGCAAGAAGGUCUACAGGCUCCUGCAAAGGAAACUGGUCGGUGCCCAUGUGAUAAAAUGCAAAUAUGUGAUCCAGCCAUUGCUUUUCUAUAUCACAUAUUUUGAAUUUUGCACAGUGAUUAACACAAUAAUGUGAAUUGAAAAUUACUUUUCAUUUAGCAGUACUCAAGACCAUGAUAGUUUGUGGUCCCUGUUCUUUCUAAAUGAAAAAUGAAAAUCCUGCUUCAUCUGAAAAUGUGUGUUGCACAUGAGUGAGUCCGACUUGCUGCUGUGAGGUUUGUGGUUCCAGAACCACCUCCAGCUAUCUGUUCGUCCCCACCCAUGGACAUUCUCCCUCACAGUCCACCAUUGUGAUAUAUGCAACUACUUCAACAAGGACUAGUAAAAAGCAGGAUUCACUUCAAAACUGAUGCUUACAUUUGAUUAAUGGCAAACAUUUGGGAGCCAUCUUCAUCCUUUGAAGCUGUCAAUAUUGCUAGUAUUUUUUAUCUGUAGCAUGUCCUGCUGCAAAUGUAGCUAACUUCCAUUCUCAGCUUUUCAUGUAUAGACUCAUGGAAAUUUUGUUAAAAGUUAUGGAAAAGUUCUGAAUGAAAAAUUGUGUACUUUUUCUGUUCUAUUUCUUCAACUUUUUGAAAGUACAUCACCAAAAAAACAAAUAUUGCCUUAAAAUGCAGAAAAUGGGCAAUUUGUUAAAAUGAAAUGGACAUUUUUGGACAUUAUACAGGACACUGACACAUUUUCAGUCUGCAGUUUGGGCUGGGCGCCCCCUAAUAUAAUGGUACAGGAAACCCUGGUAAGCAUAAGUUUGGUCAAUAACUUAAUCCCUAGUAUAUGGUACACAUUUAGACUAUGUCAUGUUGGUUGUGGUGCUGGACUCAAGACCAGAACACAGCAGCAAAGGUUCGAGAACCAGGGGUAUAAAUUUGUCCUGUUAUUGACCAGCCUAAUAUUAGAAUAUAUGUCUUUUUUUAAAGCGAAUAUUUGAAUGUCCUUUUUAAACGAUUUUGACAGCCCUAAUGCUCAGGCUUUUUGUUUUAACAACUGCAGACACCACGAUGGUCCGCCUCCGAAAUCACCUGAAAUGUGCCUUUGCUUUCAGACGAUUCAAACUGUCCAACCACCACGGCUGUCUGCUCUCGGUGUGUUCACCCAGUCCUCUAGUUCGUUCUCUGUUUCGGGCCAGUGGCACUUUCUUCCUCUGACUGCUUUGUGAGACUUCUUGCAUCUUCUCCUUCUUGCAAGUUCUGCAGCCUCCAAUCUGGAACCAUGGACUCCUUGAUCCGUUUGAGUGCCGCAGCUCGGUUCCCCUUUCAAUGGCCACGUCAAUAGCCUUUAGUUUAAAAGCCGCUGUCACACGUUACAGCGUGUCUUCGACAUGUUUAUAUCUGGGGAUGAGCGAUGGCGGGAAUAAAUACCGAAAUCAACCACGCCCUUAUUUUAUCCGCCGGGGUCAAAGGUGAGAAUAAAGGAAAGUAACAAGUUUCGGCUUAAAACCGGCAUUUAAGGAUACUUUCAGUAUGUGUCCUGGGUUAGUUUUAAGAUGUGAGCCAAUGUAACCGGUCCAGACCUAGAGGUGUCUGGACCGGUAACAUGUGAUUCACACUGGAUUAAUGAAGAGACAUACAUCGUGGGUACGUCUUCAUCGAGCCAGCGUCAUUUCAUUCUGGCUCACGUCGCUUGGUUUGCUCCCCGGUGGCACACAUUCGCCAUCUAACGAUGUGGAGGAGUAGGUCCACGAUGCGUUUGACUGCUCAAAAACCUAUUACAUCACCACUGGAAUACAGGAGCCGCAGCAUGGACACAACAGGAAAGUAGAAACCUGAAAUAAAAGUCUGAGAAUAACCGUCUACCAUUUGAAGAGAGUGAGACACAACAUUGAUAGUUGGUCCUCACUAACCACUAUUUAACUAUUUAGACCUACAGUAUUCUUGUAAAACCCCUUAAACGGAUUAUAUAUCCCACCUGGACAGGUCUGGGAAAGUCGGGACUACCUUGCUUUACAUUGACCUGGAUAAGAGAAAAUGGACGAAAAAACUAUUUUUUUAGCAUUGACUAUUAGUUAUGAAAUAGUAUUCCCAGGUGUUCCUAUUUCUUUUCUUUGAUUCCCAGAUGUACACGGGGUCGGUGUGAAGGGGGGGGAUCGGUGCCACCCCACAUACGUCUACCCUGAGGAGGUGAAACAGUUGAUUCGUUGUGUGUUCUCACAGGACAUCUGUGACUACCCCGACCCCUGCCACGACCAGGUGGUGUACGUCACUCUGGAGGAUUUGCACAAAGUUGACAUCAACUGAAGUGUGUGUCUCUUCUUCUAUGCUGAUGAACAACUUCCAGUCAUGGAUCAGCAACAGUUUUGCAAUGUGGGAAGUUGAUUCUCGAGGGUGUUGAUUGAAAGCUUAUUUCAAGAUGUUUUACUGAGUGGUUUCAGUGUCCCUCAACAUGAAUAUUAGGGUUUACAAAUAUUGUAUAUUUAUAUUGGAUCUCCACUCUUGACAAAUUACAGCUGUCAAGCUCAAAUGCUGAUCCACUAUAAGAACCGACUACAGCAUCUGACCGUUUGUGUAGUUACAAUGCCAAGUAGAAUUCACAAUACAUUCAUUGUAUUUAAUUGUAAUUAAUAUGGAGGGACAAUUUUACUCUGUAAUACAAACAGUAAUAAAACAGUGUUUUCUGUUAUUUUUUCCAAUAAAAGAAUAAAAAGUGUUCCACUACCAAUAGGGUUGUAUUUAAUCCGAAAACAUCUAGAUGUCGAGAAGAAAACAACCUUGAAACCUUGAGGCAGCGGUGUCCAGAUUUGAUGAUGUAAAGAUGCCUGGGGGCCAAUAGUACCUUCUGACAUUUUUAACCAUAAAAGUUACAUGAGAUACACGUUCAUUGUCACCAUUAUCUAGUUUUUUUCCAAUGGCAAUGUAGCCAACGAUAUUCCACUCAGGCAGGCAUCGACAACUCUAAAAGCACUGGUUUGUCUUUUAUUCAUCAUUGAACGAACUCCAUGAAGUUGAUAAAUACCUUUUUACAUUGUGAUCCUUUUAAACAGGAUUGAAUAAAUAACUCUGCUAAAGGAGGAAUUGCAUUUUAAAGUUUCAUGGUUUAUUUAACUGUGCUAGCAGGACAUACACAAUAC
ensembl:lncRNA